AUGGCCUGGGACAGAUUUCAGGAUCAGUUUGUGUCCACUGUGGUUGAGAGUUUUUCAGUGGACAGAUGCUUGUUCACAGUGCAGGAGGUUUUUGUACGGCCACUUAAUGAGUUUGUAUCACUGUGGUGGACUUUCGGUGGAGGAACCAAACUCGUCGUUGAGUCGGGCGUGGUGCGGCCCACCCUGACCGUCCUCCCCCCCUCCACACGGGAGCUGCAGCAGGGCAGUGCCACAGUGGUGUGUCUGUCCAGCGGGGGCUCCUCAGCCUGGACGCUGGGCUGGAAGGUGGGGGGCGGCAGCAGCUCCUCAGGGGUGUCACACAGCCCGGAGGUCCUGGGGACGGACGGCCGCUACAGCCUGAGCAGCACCCUGAGCCUCAGUGCGGACCAGUGGAGGAAGGCGGGCUCAGUGAGCUGUGAGGCCAGUCUGAGUGGACAGAGCCCUGUCACUCAAAGCCUGGACCCUGGCCGCUGCUCAGAGUAGAGCUUCAGCAACACUUCCUGUCUGGAAAUGAUGCUGCUUCUUUCACAGAGAUCUCCAUCAAGCUGCAGAUCUCCUGUGUUCACAUAUUUCUGCAAGUUUCUCAGCUCUCUGCUCAGCGUGUUAGUGUGCAUGUUGCUUUCUAAUACUCAUCUUCUGCAUGUUCUGCUUUAUGUUCUUUACACUUCAGAUUCGACUGAAUAUUAUCAGAGUCGCUUCAGGAGAAACGAUUCAUUCAUCAGAAAUGUGGCAUAAACAUGAAACCAUCAUUAAAUAAAACUGUGGAUUAUAAUGA